UCGUGAGAACAAUAGAUUUCUAAAGAAAUGAACAAUGAUUAUCUUUAGAAACUUACGUAGCAGGAGUAAGUUUGCAGGCUGGCUAGGUUACUGAUGACAUUUCAUAAACUUUCCUUCUUUCUUAUCGUUGGUUUACUUCUUUUGAAGAGACUAGUGGAACUUUGGAUCUUCUCAAUAACUGUGUGGUAUAGUUAAGUUUUAUUUCCAUUAAAGACAUCUCUUACGUCAUUGCAGUGUUCUGAAUGGAGAAUUCAAGCAUUGAAACACAUGGCAUUGAUGAAUAUGGAAGCAUGAAACUCCUCUAAAGGUGUAGCUUCACUGAAAGAAAACAUGGAAGGAUUUCUUCAAGAAUUUCCCAUGUGGUCGAAUGAAAGAUUAAAUAACAUAAAUGAACUUUCUGGUAAAUUGAAGAACGAAGAUCUACAAAAUCAGGCCGAGAAAUCUGUUGCGGAGUACAAGGAAGUCGAGGAAAAGUUUUUAAAACGUCAGGAAACAUUAUAGAGGGCGGCCGUACGCGUACAGGUCUCUGAUGCAUCCACAAACGGUACCAGCGAGGGAUCGUCAUCUACAUCAACAUCGAACUCCACCUCGUGUGCAAACGAUGAGGAAGGAGACAUGGACAGUGAUGAUGCUGAUGAUAAAUUAGAUCUUCCUGAAGAUUUAUCUCCUACCAAGAAAGCUGCUCGUUCUGACGUCAAUGAAAAAGAACAACUGUUGUUUUAUAACUUAAAAGAUAUUGCUGGAGAACAAAAUGAACAAA